rnacentral:rRNA from 1 species
AGUGAACGCUGGCGGUUGGCCUAACACAUGCCAGUCGAACGGCAGCACAGUAAGAGCUUGCUCUUACGGGUGGCGAGUGGCGGACGGGUGAGGAAUACAUCGGAAUCUACUUUUUCGUGGGGGAUAACGUAGGGAAACUUACGCUAAUACCGCAUACGACCUACGGGUGAAAGCAGGGGAUCUUCGGACCUUGCGCGAUUGAAUGAGCCGAUGUCGGAUUAGCUAGUUGGCGGGGUAAAGGCCCACCAAGGCGACGAUCCGUAGCUGGUCUGAGAGGAUGAUCAGCCACACUGGAACUGAGACACGGUCCAGACUCCUACGGGAGGCAGCAGUGGGGAAUAUUGGACAAUGGGCGCAAGCCUGAUCCAGCUAUACCGCGUGGGUGAAGAAGGCCUUCGGGUUGUAAAGCCCUUUUGUUGGGAAAGAAAAGCAGCAGGUUAAUACCCCGCUGUUCUGACGGUGCCCAAAGAAUAAGCACCGGCUAACUUCGUG